GAUGAACGCUGGCGGCAUGCUUUACACAUGCAAGUCGAACGGUAACAGGGUGCUUGCACCGCUGACGAGUGGCGAACGGGUGAGUAAUGCGUCGGAACGUGCCGAGUAGUGGGGGAUAACGCAGCGAAAGUUGUGCUAAUACCGCAUACGUACUGAGGUAGAAAGUGGGGGACCUUCGGGCCUCACGCUAUUCGAGCGGCCGACGUCUGAUUAGCUAGUAGGUGAGGUAAAGGCUCACCUAGGCGACGAUCAGUAGCGGGUCUGAGAGGAUGAUCCGCCACACUGGGACUGAGACACGGCCCAGACUCCUACGGGAGGCAGCAGUGGGGAAUUUUGGACAAUGGGCGAAAGCCUGAUCCAGCCAUGCCGCGUGUCUGAAGAAGGCCUUCGGGUUGUAAAGGACUUUUGUCGGGGAGGAAAUCCCCAGCGUUAAUACCGCUGGGGGAUGACAGUACCUGAAGAAUAAGCACCGGCUAACUACGUGCCAGCCGCCGCCGUAAGAC
rnacentral:rRNA from 1 species